GGACGAACGCUGGCGGCGUGCUUAACCCAUGCAAGUCGAACGGAAAGGCCCUGCUUUUGUGGGGUGCUCGAGUGGCGAACGGGUGAGUAACACGUGAGUAACCUGCCCUUGACUUUGGGAUAACUUCAGGAAACUGGGGCUAAUACCGGAUAGGAGCUCCUGCGGCAUGGUGGGGGUUGGAAAGUUUCGGCGGUUGGGGAUGGACUCGCGGCUUAUCAGCUUGUUGGUGGGGUAGUGGCUUACCAAGGCUUUGACGGGUAGCCGGCCUGAGAGGGUGACCGGCCACAUUGGGACUGAGAUACGGCCCAGACUCCUACGGGAGGCAGCAGUGGGGAAUAUUGCACAAUGGGCGGAAGCCUGAUGCAGCAACGCCGCGUGCGGGAUGACGGCCUUCGGGUUGUAAACCGCUUUCGCCUGUGACGAAGCGUGAGUGACGGUAAUGGGUAAAGAAGCACCGGCUAACUACGUG
rnacentral:rRNA from 1 species